GGGGCCUAGCCGGGCGUCGUUCUUUCAGAGCGGCCAUAUUGGCGUCGGCGAUUCGAAGGCGGUUUGUUAGUUCCGCAGCGGACGGAGAAGGAAGAACGGAAGCGGGCCUAAAAGAAAAGCGGUUUAAACGUUCGAUAAUCGAAGGUGAGGGCGGAGAGGGAGGGAAAGGAAAGAACGCCGCCUGAGAGAGAACAAAAGAAGAGAAUGCCGUAUAGCGGUUAUUAGAGGGAGGGGGGAGUGAGGGUCAAAAGUCUUCGAUUGCGUUUGGUAAUGGCUGGAGUUUCUCCUCCCGUUUGCAGUAAACGGAGAGACGGGAAUGCGCAUGCGUCUUGCGCCAUCCCGCCCGCGAUGAGUAGAAGGUUAGAGCAGCGGGGUUCGGCGUCCGGAAAGUGGCGGGUUCGAGGCCCGGGUCCGACUCUUUGGAAAUUAAUAAUAAUAAAAAUCAUAAAUCUUUAUAUAUAUCCCGCUUUUCUCCCCACGGGACUCAAAGCGGCUUGCAACAUAUUAAAAUCAUGUAAACAACCAUCCAAAUACAUCAAUAAUAAUAAAUAUAAAACUGUUUUAAAACAACAAUAAUAUACAUUCACAUUUUUGUGGCAUCAUGUCAGAUCAUAAUAACGUCCAAAAAUAAGAUAUAAAUAGAUACUAAGCAUUAAAAACAUUUUAAAGCAAUUACAAGUAUUAUAUCUACAAUUACAAUUAUUUUAUAAUUAUAUCUACGAUUAUGAUCAUAUAAUGAUAGCAGGCAACCUAUCACCUUAUACUACAACUUAUGAUAUAGUACAGUAUAUUGUAUAAUGCUAAUAGUAUAAUAUACAGGUAGUAUAUUACAUAUGUUGUGGUAUAAUAAUAUAGUACAAUCGGUAUACUGUGUGUAUAUAUAUGCAUAAUAUAUUGCAUGUAAUAUUACUAAUAAUGUUGCAGUAUAGUACAAUAUAGUAAUAGAGUAGAGUCUCACUUAUCCAACACUGGUUUAUCCAACAUUCUGGAUUAUCCAAUGCAUUUUUGUAGUCAGUGCUUUCAAUACAUCGUGAUAUUUUGGUGCUAAAUUUGUAAAUACAGUAAUUACUACUUAGCAUUACUGCAUAUUGAACUACUUUUUCUGUCAAAUUUGUUGUAUAACACGAUGUUUUGGUGCUUAAUUUGUAGAAUCAUAACCUAAUUUGAUGUUCAAUAGGUUUUUCCUUAAUCCCUCUUUAUUAUCCAACAUAUUUGCUUAUCCAACGUUCUGCUGGCCUGUUUAUGUUGGAUAAGUGAGACUCUACUGUAUAUAAUAAUUGUGUAUUAUAUAUUACAUGUAAUAUUAUUAAUAUUGCAGUAUAGUGGUAUAUUCUAAUAUAGUAAUAUAUAAUACUAAUGUUGUGCUAUGCUAAUAAUAAAAUACAGUAGAAUCUCACUUAUCCAAGCUUCACUUGUCCAAGGUUCUGUAUUAUCCAAAGCAGUCUGCCUUUUAGUAGUCACUUUUUGUAGUAAAUGUUGCAAUGUUUUGGUGCUAAAUUGGUAAAUACAGUAAUUACUACAUAACAUUACUGUGUAUUGAACUGCUUUUUCUGUCAAUUUCUUGUAAAACAUUAUGUUUUGGUGCUUAAUUUGUAAAAUCAUAAUGUAAUUUUAUGUUUAAUAGGCUUUUUUCUUAAUCCCUCCUUAUUAUCCAAAAUUUUCCCCUAUCCCAGAUUAUGCCGGCCCAUUUUUCUUGGACAAGUGAGACUCUACUGUACACAUAAUAUUGAUAAUACAGUGUAAUAAUAUUUUAAUACUUUAAGAAUACUAAUAUAUUAAAUGAGCCCUUGGUGGUGCAGUGGAUUAAACCACUGAACUUGCUGACCAAAAGGUCAGCAAUUCGAAUCCCAGGAACGGGGUGAGCUCCUGCUGUUAGCCCCAGCUUCUGCCAACCUAGCAGUUCAAAAAUAUGCCAGUGUGAGUAGAUAGAUCAGUAGCUACUGUUCCGGUGGGAAGGUAAUAGUGCUCCAUGCAGCCAUGCCAGCUACAUGACCUUGGAGGUGUCUAUGGAAAACACCGGCUUUUCAACUUAGAAAUGGAGAUGAGCACCAACCCUCAGAGUCGGACACAACUAGAUUUAAUGUCAGGGGGAAACCUUUACCUUUUACAAUAUAGUAAUCUAUAAUACUAAUUUUGUACUAUUCUAACAAUAUAUUAUAUAUACAUGUAAUAUUGAUGAUAAUAUUAUAAUGUAAUAAAAUAUAUUAAUAAUGCAGUAUAAUACUAUUAUAAUAUGUGAAUACCAAUAUAUUAAAUAUAAUUACUACUGAUAAUAUAUAAUAAUAUAUGAUAUACUGUUUUAUUAUUUUAUAUUUUAGGUUGUAGUGUUUUUGAUUGUGAGCCGCUUUGAGACUCCCUAUGGAGAGAUAAAGCGAGAUAUAAAUAAAUACAGUAGAGUCUCACUUAUCCAACAUAAACGGGCCAGCAGAAUGUUGGAUAAGCAAAUAUGUUGGAUAAUAAGGAGGGAUUAAGAAAAAGCCUAUUAAACAUCAAAUUAGGUUAUGAUUUUACAAAUUAAGCACCAAAGCAUCAUGUUAUACAACAAAUUUGGCCGAAAAAGUAGUUCAAUAUGCAGUAAUGCUAUGUAGUAAUUACUGUAUUUACGAAUUUAGAACCAAAAUAUCACGAUGUAUUGAAAACAUUGACUACAAAAAUAAGUUGGAUAAUUCAGAACGUUGGAUAAGUGAGUGUUGGAUAAGUGAGACUCUACUGUACAUAAACCUUAUAUCAACCUUUAUAAAAAUAUUGGGAAAUUUAACAGCAUUUUUAUUUGGUAUGCAUGAAAGAGGUUGGUUGUUGGGGAAUUUUGGAGGUAAGAAAUUGGGUGGCUAUUUCCCAUUGAGUUAUGUCCUACUUUACAGGGUUCUUAAGAAGGUUUUCAAGGAAAGCCAUGUAAUUACUGGUUUUUCUAUGUAAUCUUCUGUACAGCAAUACAGCCACUUUGAAACUGCAUUAAUAAUAGUAAUAAUAAUAAUCACUCUUUAUUUAUAUCCUGCCCCAUCUCCCCAAAAGGCCUCGGGGCUUCUCACAACAUAAGUAAAUUCAGUAAAUAAUAUAUAAAAAUAAAUGACAAGUUAAACAUAUUGUUCCAAUAAAUUAGAUAAAAGCCAAAAUACCCAAGUAUAUCCAUAAAACAAAGACCUUGUCCACAUAAUAAUAAUAAUACUUUAUUUCUUGACCACCCUCUCUCCCCAAAGGGACUCAGGGCAGUUUACAGACACAAAACAUUCAAUGACUCAAAUGAGUACAAACACAUCAAAAUAAUACAAGAUAAUGCACAGUAACAACAGUAAACUUACAGCAAAAAAUUAAGCAUUGAGAUGAAAAUAAUCAAAAUAAGACAUAGUAAACUAAAACAUAGAGUAAAACAUAACAACAUAUACACUAAAAGCAGUUAAGAUACAAUUACUUUAAAAUGGCUAAGGGGGAUAUAACUAAUCAUUUUCAAAAGCCUGUUUGAAUAGCCAGGUCUUUAAAUACUUAAAAGUCGUGAGGUUGGUUGCUAGGCAUUGUAGAUACCCCAUCAUUCCUCUAAUGGAAUGAAUUUAGACAUAGUACUACAGUACAACCCUGUGGCCAAGAUACUAAUGAAUUCAUUUAUCCAUGUCAAACAAAUAUGUUCUCUAUGUAUUAUUUAUUUAUUUAUUUAUUUAUAAGCCGCCCUAUCUCCCCUAGUGGACGCAGGGCAGUUUCCAAUAAAUAAAAGUAACAAAGUGGCAAACUUUCAUUGCCAAAAACGGACAAACGACAAAUCAAAACAGUAAAUAAAACAAUCUCAAUAUAAACUUAUAAAACUAACUGAAAAAUAACCAAAAAUUAAACUUAAAUAAACAUAAUAAACAUCACACACAAUUACCAUCUAAAAGGCUCUUACAAGUUAAACUAAAAAUACAUUAAAAGCAUUAAAUGGUUUACAGCAUCUAGAUAUUCCAGUGCAAUUAUUUUAAGGGUUUCAAAGUGAUUUUAACCAAUUGUAGGCUUAAUUCUGUUUUAAUACAUUGUAGAUUUUAAACUGCAUUUAAAAAAACAUUGUGAGCCACUUUGGGUCUCAGUCAAGAGAGAAAAGCAAGAUAAAAAUGUAAUAAUGUAAACUUGUUUCAAAACGUAAUUUUUUGAAAUUCUGUUAAUGUUAGCAGUAAUCUACAGUUGCGUAGUCAAGACGGCUGACAACUUCUGCAUCCUUUUAUUAUGUUCCCUUGUUUUUUUUUAGCCACAAUUGAGCAGGCAUUCCUUACAGGUAAGUAGUUAAAAUAAAGAGAUUCCAGCUAAACAUUAGGAAGAACCUCCUGACAGCAAGAGCUAUUCAACGGCGAAAUACACUGCCUCAGAUUGCAGUAGAGUUUCCUUCUCUCCAAGUCUUUAAGCAAACGCUGGAUGACCAUCUGUUGGGAGGGCUUGGAUUGUGUCUUCCUGUCUUGCAGAAGGGGGUUGACUGGAUGACCCUUGUGAUCUCUUCCGACUUAGCUUUUUACUGGACAAUCAAUGGAAGGAAGCUCUCCUCAUAAAUUCAACACGACACUAUAGGAUAUCUCCGUUUCUCCUCUUGACACUCUCUUCAGUCUAGUACAUUUGUAUUUUUAUUUAAAGCUCUGCAGUAUGUAGCCUUGUAAGCCCUAACUUAUCCUGACAGAGGAAGCUGGUCCUGUUACCACAAAGACACUUCUGGCUGAGAAAUAUCUGAAGAAAGGUAACCUGAGUUGAAGCCAUUCAUUUUAUUUAUUCAUAUAUAUAUAUAUUGGUUUUUAAAACUUUCUAGUCUGAUAAUAUUAUCCAUUGUAGAAACAAAAGGGAAAAUUCACCAGACAAAAAAAAGAGACAUGUCUCAAGACACUGAGAAACUCUUAUCACCUAACAGCUAAUGAGACUAUCAUUUCAGUGUCAUAAUAUGGGUCUUCUUUUUUUCUUGUGCAAUUUCCUCUAUUGUUGUCCAUGUUUUGCAUCAUUCAUAGUAUACUUUUAAGUUUCUGCUUGAAUCAACUGUCUUUGGACCUUAACUGAGCAGAAAUCCUCAAAUAAGGUGCAGUAUUUCUAAUUUAUAAUUACUUCAAGGCAAUCAUUUGUACCCCUUGUGGUAAGUUAUCCCUAACUAGAAUUCAGAGGUUCCAUUUCAGUCAGCGAUACAUCUAUAUAUUUCUAAAUUUAGUUUUUCCAGGUGCAUUAUUUAAAAUAAUGGGGUUUUUAAAACUUGGAUGUAAAGGCCACAUGCAAACAUAUAUUGCAAUAAUGCGAUAACUAAAAAUACACACAUUGAAGAGAAGAAUGAACGUUGUGGGAAUCAUGAAAGGUAAGACAUACAAUCAUGCUUGCAGAGGAGAGCAAUGGAUACAACAUAUAUAGAGCAUCAACUACAGAAGGAGUUCUUAUGAAGAUCAUUUGCAGCAGCAUCUAUAUUGAUAAAUAUAUGUUUUUGUGGUCUAGUAUUUAACAGUAAUUUGUAAGAAUGCGAUUAUUAAGACAAGUUAAUUGAAAAGCUUCUGAAAAUUGCUGUUGCAUCAAGGGAAGCUGGAAGCUUCCUUCUUGAAGCAGUCAAACCUGUAAAAUUUAAUAACCCUGGUUUUAAAGCCUUUAACUUUAUCCUGUGGUAUUUUUAUCUAGAAAUGGAGCAAUUAACGUAAUGUAGCCGGAGACUAUGACUACAGAUUCCCUUAUCCGAAAAGCUUAGGACGAGAAGUCACCUGUAUUUCAGAUUCUUUUGCAUUUGGGAAUGCUUGCUUGUACACCAUGAGAUGUUUUGGAGAUGAGACCCAAGUCUAAACACAAAAACAUGUUUCAUGCUUUAUGUUAAUAUACAAAGCCUGCAGGUAAUUUUAUACAAAAUACAUCAAAUACUUCAGUGCAUGGAACAAAGCUUAUAUAUAUUGAAUUAUAUAUUGAAUUAUCAGAAAGCGAAGGUUUCAUUAUCAGGCACACGUGUGGACCAUUUCAGAUUCUGUAUUCUGGGUAAGGGGUACUCAACCUGUUAGCUUUUCCUUUUGGUCUUUUUUCUUUCACUGUUAUAAGAAUCUUUUAUUGGUAUUCUUUAUAUUGUGGCUGAGAGGGAAAAGGAAAGGGCCUGAGGCCAGAAAUUGUGGGAGUUGGAAGUCCAAAACACCUGGAGGGCUGAAGUUUGCCAAUGCCUGAUCUAUAGGCUGAGCCAGUUCAUAGGAAACAUUUUUUUUCUCUUUUGUAAUAUCAUAUUUUUAAUGAUCGAUGAUUGGAGAAUUAAAAACAGUGUUUAAAGUGCAGAGCAAACAUUCCGGAUCCGAAGAUUCCUCCUUCAGACAAGGUGCCAUAAAAGGAGGGGCAUUAGGCACACAGAUUGCCUCAUCACACUAGAGCAUGAAUCCACUUUAAAUCCAGUUUCUGCCUCCUGCAGAAUUCUUGGUGUGGCUCAGGACCCUGUCCCUAAAGUGGAUUUAAAGUAGAUCCAAACUAGUGUGAUGAGGUCCAAUAACUUGUUGAAAUGGUGUCUCUUAAUUGUGUUAUACAGUAGAGUCUCGCUUAUCCAACAUAAAUGGGCCGGCAGAAUGUUGGAUAAGUGAAUAUGUUGGAUAAUAAGGAGAGAUUAAGGAAAAGCCUAUUAAACAUCAAACUAGGUUAUGAUUUUACAAAUUAAGCACCAAAGCAUCAUGUUAUACAACAAUUUGACAGAAAAGGUAGUUCAAUACACAGUAAUGCUAUGUAGUAAUUACUGUAUUUACAAAUUUAGCACCAAAAUAUCACGAUAUAUUGAAAUCAUUAACUACAAAAAUGUAUUGGAUAAUCCAGAAUGUUGGAUAAGCAAGUGUUGGAUAAGUGAGAAUCUACUGUAUCACCUUCACCUUUUGUGAUGUCCGAUCUGAUUGAUUUCGAAGCCUUGAAAAGCUUUAUACAUAUUAAGUUGGUCCUGACGAAGAUUUUCUCACUUGGAAUUUGAAAUCUUUCAUAUGGACCAGCACAGUUAACCUGUAGCAAACACUUGUGUGCAUAAACUCAGACAUAUGGUCCAUUAUCUCCCACAGGUCUUCAGUCCUAAGUCUAAGAAAAGAGUGGGCAAAGUGUCCCUAAUGUUAAAUAGCACAUGCCCAAACCAGCCUGGACAGUAUUGCAGAAUACUGGGAGUUGCAUCCAGCAGACAAAUGGAUGGCCAUGCCUGUGAUGCCACUGACAGUAUGGCAAUUUGUUAGCCCUGUUCAUUGUAGUGUACAUUCCUUAUGAAAACCAUUCAAGUAAUUGUGUUCCCGGGUAUUCCUUUAACGUUAACCUUUGUAUCAGAGGUAGAGAUAACAGGAAAAGAAGAGGACUAGGUUCCAAUACCACAAAAGUUCAAAAUGUUUUAGCAAACCUUUUUAUCCAAAACUAAAAAUGCAUAUGAAAUUGAUGCCACCAACUCAGGUAAGUUUUGCAUAAGUAAAAACAUUUUGUACAAAAAUGAUUUCUUCCAUAAUGCACGCAGGAUUAUUUUUUUUUACGAUUUCUAUUUUGAAUCCCAGACUUAAGCAUUUCUUUUAUAUGCUGGGGACAGCUUCUGAAAUUUAUCUGUUCUCUUAUGUCUCUAUUUGCUGAUGAUCAGUAAGGGAUGCUGGACUCCUACCUUGCCUUGAGGAUGGAGGCACAGGCUACCAGAUGUUCAAACUUUAUUGUAUUGUUCCCUGCAAACAUACUACUGUAAUUCUGCCAAUGCAAAAAAAAAAAAAAGUAGCCCCAUCACCAUCUUCCAGCUAGACCAGACAUGGGUAAACUGACCAUUCAGGUGUUUUGAACUUAAUUAUUUAAGUAACCUGUACCCCCACCUUUUCCCUUUUAAGGCCCCAAAAUGGCUUACAGUGAUAAAAACAGGCAUAAUAGAAGUUGGAACAUUUAAGACCAAAUAUUAGCAGUUGCGGUCACAUGGCCUAAAACACAUUACACUAUAAUAAAACAUUAAAACUUAUGGGCUGUUAGGGAUUAUGGGAGUUCAAGUCCAAAACACCUGGAGGGCUGAAGUUUGUCCAUGCAUGAGCUAGAAGAGUAGGGUGCGGAGGGUUUAAAACACUUUUUACAAAGGAGUUUCUUGGUUAGAAGCUUUAUUAGCAAAGGUGUGUGUGUAUUAAAUGUUACAUGUUAUUUUUAGAGCUGCUGGCAGAAGCAUGGAGAAGGUUACAUGGAGCCGUUUGUCAGCCCCACUCCCGGUUUUCCUCCAUAUAAACGUUCCACCCUGAUAAUCCAGGAUGAGUUCUGAGCAGAAUUAUAAUGUAUAUAGCAUCCACACAUGUAUUUCAAUGCUUUCCUGCAGUUGCAGAUCUACAGUAAAUAUUUUAUUUUAAAAGCUGGCUUUAAAAAUAGCCAGUUUGCAAGUUAAACUCGGAAGAGGACCUAGUUGUGGCCUUCCCGUGUCAUGGCAUGGAUGUAAUUACUGUAAAUGGUUUCCUGUUUCUGCCCAUUUUAACAGAUAUUUUUUCCAGGUGAGUGAAGAAGAGCCUAAAAUAAGAUUUAUAGGAAAUGCAUAGUGAUUAAUGUUUAAAUUUGCAGUCUUUUGGGACCUGUAAGACCAGAGGAUCUGAAACGACUUCUGUCAUCUCAUCUUGAGACGUUGCAUCGAAGAGUUCAGUAAUCAAGCCGAGUCACUUUCGUGGAUGGGUAGACAGACACGCACAUCUUGGGCCUUGAUCUAGCAGGAGUUAAUGCGAUGCACUAAUUUUUACCAUUGCUCAGUGAGGAGAAAAACAUGCACACUCUUUGAAAUUAAUAUCUUUAUUCUGCAACAAGCUGUGUUCCUAUCAUUCUGUGGAGCUGUGUAGCAACAGAGGAAAAGGAAGAUUUACGUAGGGUUUUUCUUAACUAGAAAGAAUGUUCUGUUCACAAUGAGAGAACAUCCUGUUUUUUAAGACCACUCAUAAAAUCCGAUCUUUCUAUUUUAUUUUUUUACCUCUAGCUACCAUCCAUAAGUAAAAGUGGUAAGUAUUUUGAAACUACUUUUUUUCUUCCCACAAAAGCAUCUGUUGGAUUUUGGGAGUUUCCAAAGUGUUUUUGGACGCAACUUGGAACAUGCCUUUUGUCCAAAGAGCAGUUGUCAAACAGUCCUGAUCGAUUGCUCUCCCUGCUCUGAGGUCAGAGGACUUUCCAAGUUGUCCUGCCUUGCAGUCUUUGAAAAAAUGCCAAGGACAGAAUCUUGGACUUGCCCCAAAUCUAAAAUGUGUUAUUUCAUCAAGCUAAUAAUUUCUCCUUUUCUGAUGGGGUAACCAUUAAUAUAAAUUAUUUCCAUCAAUCUUACAUAUGAUGCAGAGGAUGUAGUCUGAAACGGAAGAUAAAACUGCUAUGGAGCAUGCAGGCAAAGGUUCAGCACGAGAAUACAAAGGCUGAAGGGAGAAGGAAGCAAACAAAGAUGUGUUUUACAUCUGUAGGAUUUUUUUGUACAUACAGUAGAGUCUCGUCCAACAUGAACGGGCCAGCAGAACGUUGGAUAAGUGAUAAUGAGGGAUUAAGGAAAAGCCUAUUAAAUGUCAAAUUACAUUAUGAUUUUGCAAAUUAAGCACCAAAACAUAAUGUUUUAUAAUAAAUUGAUAGAAAAAAACAGGUUAAUGCACGGUAAUGUUACGUAGUAAUUACUGUAGUUAUGAAUUUAGCACCAAAACAUUGCAAUGUAUUAAAAACAUUGCUUACUGAAAGGCAGAUGCGUUGGAUAAUCCAGAACGUUGGAUAAGUGACACUACUGUAUUUGUAUUUUAGAAAUAGCUGAUUGGGGGAAAGGCAACUUUUUAAAUACAUGGAAUGUGAAGACUUUCCUACAGGCUUGAAUACAUGAGCAGAUGCAGUUGUACAGCACAUAGUCUGGCCUAAGCUUUCAAACUAUUUGCAAAAGCUUUUAAAAGCCAAAUAUGCAGAAGCAGCAAACAGGUAAAAUGUACUCAGUAGCUUGGCAUCAUUCAGAACAGCAAAUAGGGUAUUUUUCUAGAAAGGCAAUAUUUAGACAGGCAUACUAAAGGGCUAAACACGUUUAGCAUCUUCAUUUGCUGUUCUGGCCUUGCACAGUGAUCAAGUCAAUUGUACUUAGAAAUAAAUCUAGAGUACUUAUGGGACUUGGUUCUUCAGAGUGGCACCAUGAUAUAUGAAGGAUAUCCUGGCUUCUGUAUAUCAUUCACGAAGAUGUUAAAAAUUGCCAUUGCUUAUCAGUUUCCCUGUUGAGUAUCACCUGCUUGUGCCAUGACUCAUAAACAGUCUUGGUUUUUGGUUGAAUCAGAAAAAAGUUCAGCCUUUUAAUCUAACUAGGUUUUUUAAAUUCCUUUUUAUUUACCUGCCUAUUUUUCUUUUCUCUUUCAGCUAUUAGAAAGGUGUGCUUACUUUUCUGUUUCAGGUUCUAAUUAUUCGUCAGAGCUUGAAAAUGGUUGCAAAAUUGAGAAAACAAAUCUUUUGUCUUUCAAAAGAGGAAGGAAGUUGAUCUCAGACUAAACCCAGUGUCCUAUAAAUGGGCUGCAUACCGGAAGGGCUAGAUUUUUCUGUGGAGCCAAUAUGGAGAACACAUGUCAACAUUCCUUUAUAAUCGCAGUGUAUCUUUAUAGCUGGGUGAAGAAGUGUCAUUUCCUGGCAGUUGUGGAAGCAUUUUUCAUACCUGAACUAUGUUCUGCUAAAGAAACGCAUUCUCUUACAUUAAGAGCAGAUGAAAUUGGAAAUUGUCAUCUUUGUGGUAGCUGAAACAAGUUGCAUUCAUAAAGGGGGGGGGAUGAAAUGUUUUGAGUUUUGCAGGAUUUUUUAAACCUUAAAUACCCUGGUGUCCAUCAAGCAGAAAGGAAGGCAUGCACAAACAACCAGUUUUGACCUAAGGAAUGUAAUUGUACUUGAACUGAACUGCUGUGGACUCAUUUCACCUACUUUGAAGAUUCAGAAAUCCUUGCUGACCUACUCUUGAGUUACUCAAAAGAGGUUUCUCCUCUCCAACAUUGAUGUAAAGUGAGGUUGGAGAACCAUUUCUGAUUUUUCCUGACAAUUUGUUUCUCUGUGAUGGGCAGCUUAUUUUAAAAACAAAAAGAUCUUGGAUCAGGUAGUUAUGCUUAUUGUUUUUCUGCUCCAUUCCAAGGCUUGAAGGUUUGUGCUGAGAUCACUUUGGGGCCAGAACACUCGGACAGCAUGGCUAAAGGAAGUUCCAGUCCAAAAGUAACUUUUCAAGACUCAAAGAUAGUAACUUUAGAGCCAUUGGGUGCCUAGAAGAUGAGGUAUCUGUUGAACAGAUAUUUGGAGCUGAUCUUUAAAUAUAGAGAAGGUCCAAGGGAGAUAGGACCCAGUGAGUUCACCACUGUUUUCAUUUUGCCUUAGACAUCUUUGUAGUUGUCAGAUAUUUUCAGUGUUGCAAAUCACCCCAAGAAGUUGAGCCACACUUUUAGUGUUUUAUCAUCACCCUAAGCACCAACAGUGAUAGAAAAUGUAUGAUAUAAGGGAGCAGGAAAUGAAAAAUAAUUUGGGGACAAAAUAGUCCCAUCUCUAUAUGAAGUGGGUUAAUUUUUAAGGUGACCAUAUAAAACCUAGGUGAGGGCUUUUGGGAAACAGUUAAUGAAUAUGUGACUAUAUGGUUAAAAAAGAGCCCUAUUUACAGUAUAGGGGUAAAAUUUUAUCCCUAUGGCAUGUUGGUCAUUCAGCUGUCAAAGGCAAAGCAAGGGAGAGGUGGUUAAUGUAAGAAGAUUUCAAAUUGGGUAAGAAAAAGCAUUAAGAACAAGACUCUCAAUUUUUAAACAGCAACGUGUCAAAAUGUUUUUUUUAGAUUUUCAGUAAUCUAUAAUGACAUCAGUAACUUCAGGAAAGUUGAAAUCCAUGACUCCGUUGAAAACAGACUAUUUCUCAAAAUAAGUGACUAACUUCUGUUUUUUUUUUUUUUUUUUGGUUCUUUCAGGAGCUGCUUGGACUGAAAUAAUGCACCUCUUUUGUCUUUUCAGGUUGAGAGCCCAUUAAUACUUUGAAGGAAUCUUUUCAUGCUGUACAAGUGGUACGGCAGAACUGUGAAGCAGAAAUAACCUAAAUAAGGUGGCUGCUUUUCAAAACUGCCGAAUGUGCAGACCUAAGGUUGUCCCUUGGAAAGUUUGCUAAUUGUUUGAUGCAACAUAAGCUACUUAGCAGAAAUCUCCUUCAGCAUCUGCUAAAUAGCACAUGGCCCUGUGUCUUGUUGAGACUGCUCUUCAUCCAUUGGGAGAAAGACAAAAAACCUAGAGAAAUGUGUAAAAAAUCCUGGGAAACCAAAGCACAGCAUUGACAGUAAGGCUCCCAAAUAAACGUCCACAGUGACAAUAAACACAGGCCUUGUGGAUGAUGGGAACAAAGGCACACAAUUCAUUUUUGCAGAGCAGAUUCUAAAUGGUGGGACGACAUCUUUGCUUCGCCCUGUUGAAACACACCAGUUGGGUAGGACGGAAAUAUCAACCCUUCUCUAUGCUUUUAAGUUGGCCGAAAGCAGGGAUGGGCCCUGAAACUGAGCAGGAAGGCAAAUAGCAGGCAUUAACUUCGGCCAAAGGAUCUUUUGAGUUCCUGCAGUUCUUUCAGGCCAGCCUAGUGACAACCUGGUCAAGACAAUAAAAUUAAUUCCAAGCAUUAGUAUUUUAUAGAACUUCAGCACUGUACAAACUAUAACUUCAUGAGCAAUAUCUAAUGCGUACAUGAUAAGCCUUCUCAGGUCAGUGCGAGCAGCUAUUUACGAUUUUCUCCAUGUCUGGUGUGGUAUGCAACUGUAACCUGUAGUUGUUGGCCCAGGGUACAUAAUAUUGUAGCUGAGCUGCUGAUGCAACACUGUUAUAACUCCUGAAAAACUAAAGCCGAUUAUGGCCCCUGAAAGGAAAUUUUGUUUCCUGAGAGAGUGCAAAUUUGUCAAAAGUUAUCUAAGACCGAGAAGGUACUUGGAACUUGUAGAUUAGAGCCAUGUGGUGUAGUAUAUGAGUGUUGGGCUUUGGAGACAGGAUUUGAUUCCCUGCUUAGCCAUGAUAGGGUCACUAUGUUGGAAAUUACUUGAACUACUGCAUUUAUAGGGCAAGUGUAGUGGUUUAUUUAUUGGAUUACAAUUCUAAAGACCAGGAUCUAAAUGCCUGCACAACUAUGGAAACCCACUGGGUCACCUCAGGGAAAUUGUAUUUCUCCACUCCAGAAAAAAACAAAACAUUUGAACAAAUAUUCCCUGAUAGGUUCAUCUAAGCCACACAGGCUACCUGAUUGUCUUUGGCACGGGCAAACCAAAAGCAUAGGAAAUUCUGGCUAAGCCUGCUAUGGCAUUCUAGGCAUUGCAGUUCAAAAAGCAAUAUUCCCAAUUUUGUGGCACUGGCUCACAUAACCAAAUACCCACUUUUACUGCACCAUGAAAGGCAAUAUGAGGAAAGAAGUGAAAUAGUUGCCCUUAUGGCUUUCAAUGGUGCCAAUUGUUUGAGAGCUGCCUGGAACUUUCUCCCAGCCAAUAUCAUUGGGUGAGAGCUCGAACAGGCUCCCUCCUUCUGUCCAUCAUAGGCUUCAAGGCUCAACAAGACAAUCCUAGUUCCUCCUCAACUGGAUUGAAUCCAAUAAUUGGCAUUUGCCAUGGAGUCAUGACCUUUAGCAAUCUUCUGAAUGCAGUCUGGACCUUAAUUGUUUCAGUGCAUAGGAAAAGCAUUCCUUUCUCGCAGAUUCACUUGGUACUUUUUAAAAUGUGGAUUACAUUAAUAUAAAAGUCUUAAUACAAAUAUUUUUGCAAGCAAUCCUGCAUGUCUGUUUCUGUAUAAAACGUUCUUUAACAAUUUCCAUCAUGAGAGAAUGGACUGCAGAUACAGGGCCAUAGUUUCUGUCUUUAAAAGGCACAAAACAAAUUACCAGACGUUAUGGUCACAGAGAUAUGCCGGCAUGCAAAUAGGGCCUGGUAAGAUCUGAAAAACCAGAAAUGAGAAGGUAUUAAAUCUUUUUGGUGGAGUUCUGGCAACCUGUUUGACUCUUGGCCUCACCCCAAUAACCUAAAGCAGAAUACACUGUAAAUUACAUGAAAUUAUAAUGGGCAUAAGUAUGGUGUCUAUUCGGCUUAAAUUGUCACAGGGCAGAUAAUGCUUUGGCACACAAUUUUCACUUGUGUUUAUUCUGGAGCUUGUGUCUUGAUGUAUUGCAAAUAUUUGUUGAUUAACUGAUUUUAUAUCCUGUUUUUCUUCCCAAAUCAGGACUCGGGGCAGCAAUAAAGAAGAUACUCUCCAGGUGGCUUAGAAAUAGAACAAGACGGAUGGUAAAACAAUCCCAGUUUGACCCACUUUCCCCUUCAAAGUUCAGGACUGAGCUAUGUAAAUUAUCCUCGGCCCUGUUUUCUUUACAAUAACUUUGUGGAUGGGUAGGAGGGAGAGCAACGGUAGCUAACUAACCCAAAUAUUGUAUAGCCCUGGGACUUUUCAGGGGAUAAGGCUUUCAGCAGAUCUUGUUCAAGUUCUCAAUAACGAAAACAUAUAAUUCAACAUUUCACAGAUGAAAACAGGAGCAUGUAUAGCCAAGCAGCACCAGAGUGGUUAUUACUAAGAGUUAUUACUGAGGAAUGAACCACAAACUAGGAGAAACUACAGCAGUGAGCCUGUCACAAAGGGAAUGAUUCCAUUCUCCCUUACUGAGACCAUGCGGACUACUUUGAAUUCAGUUUGCAGCAAUUAAAGUAAACUCAGGAUGAAAGGGGAAGGUGCAGAAGCGGGAAACCAGGGCGUUUUAAAAGCAGCUCAAAAAGUGAGAUAGAAGAUAGUCUGUCCAUGACAAAUCAAGGCAGUUGAAAUAUAUAUUUAUAUGCCUACACAUAGACUUUAGUAAUAGUGCAACACUAGUCUGCUUAGACCAGAAUGUGUCUAUAGAAAGGUGACCAAAACGAUUGAAGGUCCGAAAGCCAAGCUCUACGAGGAAUAGCUUAAGGAGUUGGGUAUGUUUAACUUAGAAGAAAAGAAGGCUUGGAGGCGACAUAGCAGCCAUAUUUUAAAGGAUGUCAUAUUGAAGAGGGGACAAGUUUUAUUUUUGCUGCUGUAGAGACUAGGACACGGAGCAAUGGAUUCCAACUAAAGAAAAAGAAAUUCCACCUAAACAGGAAAAUCUUCCUGAUGGUAAGAGCUUACCAACAGUGGAAUAUGCUGCCUUGCAGGGUGGUGAAGUCUCCUUUUCUGGAGGUUUUAAAGCAGACACUAGAUGACCAUCUGUCUGGAGUACUUCGAUUGUGUUUUCCUGCAAGGCAGAACUGGGUUGGACUGGAUAGCCUGUGAGGGUCUAUCAUUCAAACAAGCACCAUACUCUAGCUCAGAUCCAGACUUAUUCCUUCUUAAGGAAGACACACAGAAAUCAACGACAUACAAGUUAAGCAUGGACUAUGGAUUUUAAUAGGUCGUAAUAUGGCUAAGUAUGGAGACAAACCUUUGUCUUAUUCUCUCCCCCCCCCCCCCUUUCUUCCUCUGUGGCUCCGAUCCAGAAGUCAAAGGGUAUAUUGUGCUGCCCUUUGGUUUCAAGAUUUGACUUCCUUUUGCUCCAGUUUGCAGCAAGACCACACAAACGAGACGUCAGGGUCAUUAGCCAAUCUGACUCACGCUUCUACCCAGUAAACAAGCCUGCUUUAAAACAAAAAACAUCCAGACGCCUGCUCCCAUGAGAUCUUACGCUGAUGUGAAACCGUAACCUCCUUCCGUGCUUCAUCCUUACGCUUGCAUAUUCCUUGGUGACGCUUUGCUCUAAUCCUUGAAAGUAAACAGAGACGGGACCAGGGACUGGCUUAAUCCAUGAAUCAGGCCAGAACAAAGAGAUUAUGCAGAAAGAUGUGCGAUUUCCAGGCAAAAUGCAGAAGUGAACCCAAACAAUGAACGGUUUCAAAUCUGCAUUCUUUUGAGACAGUUUUACUGAGAAAAAAUCAAUUGCAUGCCAAAACAAAAACAAAACGCCUUGCUGCAGUCAAGUCCAAAAAGACAAGAAAAAGAGAUUUGGGACAUACGUCUCAGGAUGGCAUGUGAGGUUAUGACCCCGCAGUGUUUGAUUACAGAUCCCAAUAUCCCCUAGCAGAGGCCUGCUGGGUGGGGCUAGUGGGAAUUGUCUUUCAAAUACUGGAGAGCAAAUUACAACUUCUAAAAGAGAGAAACUUAAAAAUCCCACAGAAUUUUCUUUGUUUUGCCAAGCGAUAGAGUUUCUAAUUUUGAACCUGCCUCUGACAGGUGUGAAAACAAAGCAAAGAUACAGUCUGAAUGCAGAAGGCUGUUUUUUAAAAAUUAAAUCACACACAAAGAUCUCAAGACUGUUUCGAACACCAGAUUGAAGAAAAAAAAUGCACAACUGAACAAUAGGUCCAGUGUCUGAGAGAUCAGAUUUAUCAAGAAGAAAGAUUUCCAAGGUCUCCUCUGCAGUGUUCAGUCACUUGGAAAAACAAUGCUCCCCUUGCACAUGGAUGUUCCCUUGGUUUCUCUUCCCGCUGAGCCACAAACAUUCUAAUUGUGUCUUAUACCUCAGAGCUAGUUUCAGACGUGACUGCCAAGGGGAGCUCAGAGUGAUUUAGGAUGCGCUCUGUCUGUGUCAUUGUGAGAUGGUCCAUGAUCAAUUGCAGCCUGGGUGGAGUUUCUCCAGAGGCAUUACACCCAGAGUCCAUUUCUUGUAAACUUUAGACAACAUCAAUCAUGUGGAUCACAUUUGGCAAGUGGAGGACUUACGGUUCCCUAAAGAUAGGAGCAAUUGCUUGGGACGUAAGCCUUUGUGGGUUAAGGACCACGUUUCCAGAGUGUCUUUUAGUUGACUAGUCUCUACAACACAGCUACAAGAGAGUGAUAAAACAGUCUUGUACCAUGAAGCUUUGUUCCAGCUGAUCCUACCUCGCAAUGUUGUUACAAGGGUGAAAUCAGUGUUAUUGUUUAGCAUCUGCUCCCUACAACAUUCCUGAACUAGAAACUGGGUAAUUUGAGGUCUUCUAGUUAGAUUGCAAUUCCCAACAGCCAUCACCAUUAGCUACCUAGCUAGCGCUGAUGAGAACUGCAGUUCAAUAAGCUGUGUGUCCACUUCUGGAUUAGACUUGGAUCUCCACUCUGCCACGAGGAUUGCAGGCUCCCUUUGGCCAUUUUCUUUCUCUGCCUGAUUAACCUCCUAGGUGUGUUGUGUGGAUAUCAUGGAGAAAAGGGGAACCAUAAAUGGAACAUGGAUGGACAUUAGGAGUGUAAAUGUAAUAAAAUGAUUUGUUGUUUAUUUGUUCAGCAGCUUCCAACUCUUCGUGACCUCAUGGACCAGCCCACAUCAGAGCUCCCUGUCGGCUGUCCCCACUCCCAGCUCCUUCAAAGACAAGCCAGUCUCUUCAAGGUCCCUGUCCAUCCAUCUUGCCCUUGGUCAGCCCCUCUUCCUUUUUCUUUCCUUUUUCCCCAGCAUCAUUAUCUUUUCCAAGCUUUCCUGCCUUCUCAUUAUGUGACCAAAGUACCUCAUCUUUGCCUUUAAUAUCCUUCGCUCCAGUGGGCAGUUGUAUGGACUAAUUUGAUCUUCUGACAGUCCAAGGCAUUCUCAGAAUUAUCCUCCCAACACCACCAUUCAAAUGUAUCUUAUUUUCUUUGCUCAGCCUUAUGAUCCAGCUCUCGCAUCCAUAGGCUACUACAGGGAAUACUAUUGCUUUAACUAUACAGACCAGUGUGAUGUGUCUACUCGUCACUGUUUUAUCAAGAUUGGUCAUUGCUAUCCUCCCAAGAAGUAAAUGCCUUCUAAUUUCCUGGCUGUAGUCUGCAUCUGCAGCAAUCUGCAGAAUAAAAUAAUUGAAUAAAAAAAAUAUUAAAAUGAUAGGUACAUCUAAAAUAUUCACAAGACAAACCAAGUGGUUUUUGGCAACACCAGGAACUGGUGAGCACACAGUCAUUGCAGCUUUGCUAUGUUAACCCAUUUAAGCAGGUGAGAAAACCAUUUGUUUGAUUCUAAGCACAGCCUAAACAAAUGCCGUGAUAAUUUUUAAUAUAGUGGUCUUGUCAUAAACUGGAAUCUCCCAUGAGAGUUCUUUGUGCAAGAAUUUCAAAUCCAAAUUUAGCAGCAACGUUCUCAGGGAAGCUGACAUUUAUACACCUGCCAAUUCUGGGCAGUACUAUCUGUAUCCAAGAAUCACAGUGCCUCCAGCGUUGUUUAUCCGUUAAUCUUUAAGGUUCCAUCUGGUGUUUUAUUCUUCUUUGCAAGAGCCAAACAGAACCUGACCUCUGGAAUUAACACUGAGCUGGAUUCUCUAUUCUCUCCUAGAGUCAAGAAAAAUUGCUCCUGUUGGACUGGGCAUUUCAUCUAGGAAUGGAUAGGAGCAAAGCCAUAAGAUCCCAUGAGAAAAAGCAAGAUGUGUUUUCAUUUUUAAAAUAAUACAUACCUCCUUUACCAGAGUAAUUGGAAUUCAGUAAAAGUUUUACUUGUUAACUGGCACCAAACUUGACUUCGAUUAUAAAGCCUAUGAAUGAGGAAACCUCACCUUAUACCAAUAGCUCUGGAUAGAAAUAAAAUCUCAUUCAUGCUCAGGUCCUGCAGGAGAUCACGGCUUCCUUCAUUGAGUCCAUCUAGAAUGCAGUCUUCCUCUUUUCCCACUGCCUUCUGGCUUAUCAAGCGUCAUUGCCUUUUCUAAUAGGGCAUGUCUUCUCAUGAUUUAUCCAAAAUAUAACUGUUUCAGUUCAGUCAUCUUGACUUAUAGGAAGAAGAGCGGCUUGAUUCCCUCUACUACCCAUUCUUAAAAUCUUUUUAGCAGACAAUGGCACCAAACUUCAAAUUAUUUGAUGUUAUUUCUGUCGGAUUUCUUUACUGCCCAGUUUUCCCAGCAGGACACAGAAACUGGUAAGACAGUGAUAUGGUUAAUCCUAACUUUAGUAUUCAAUGAUAUAUUGCACUUGAGCAUCUAGUCUAGUUCCUUCAUAGUUGCUUUGCGUUUUCUUGGCUGCAAUUCCCACCUUGAUUAAUGAAAAUCUUGAACAAUUUCAAUGUUUUCAGCAUCAUCACCACCUAUUCAGUAGCCAUGUUCCUUAAUGUUCAAUAGUAAACCUGCCUUUGCACUUUCUUCCUUGGCUUUAUUUAAUCUUUGCAAUUUUCUGAUAAUAGUAUGGUGUCAUCUGCAUAUCAUAAAUUGUUUGUGUUCCUGCCUCCAAUUUCCAUGUCUUCCUCUGAAUUUAACUUGCUUAACAUAUGGGACUGUCGGUGUACAAGUUGAACAGAUGGGGAGACAAAAUUCAGCUUUGUCUGCCCAUUUGUCAAUUCAGUUCUCCAAAUUCUGUCCUGUUGUCUGGCUAGAGGGACUCAUCUGCACCUGGGGUUAAUCUGGCCUGGAACAUCUUCAGAUUCAACAUGUACAUGCUGAAUCCAGAGCUGUUGCAAGACGGUCCAGGACCACGUUGGACCAGCUCAAGUGUUGCCUCCUCUAUAUCACCACUGCUGCUGCUCCUAGCUAACCAAGGAACUCCAUAUGAGCACCUGGCUGCUGCAAUCGCCAUUACUGAUGCCAGAGCUGGGCACCCACAUGAUCAGCAAAAAGGAGGGGGUAAGUCCCCCCAUCUUCUCGGUGGUCACAUAAGAACAACAUUUUGAGAGCAGCAGAAGUUGCCACAGUGCUCAAGCUUUGCUCUGUGACCAUCUAGAAGCACUGAUUCAGACACCAUCCCUCCCCUUUCAGUGCAUGAUAAGGGUGCUGGCAGUGGUGUCCAUCUGGAAAAGGUAUCCAGCCGAAUCAGACUUAAUUUGGCUAUUCAGAUUGUCUAGAAAUAGUCAGACUCCAGAGUAUACCCUGACUUUGUGAAAUAUCUCACAGUAGUCACUAGAAGUCCCUGUGUAUUGUGAAAAGAGACAAUAGUCAAUUCGUGGUAAGUAUGUUUAGCCAUUUCUGUAAGAGUAAUCCAUAGUUUUUCAUGAUCCAGACCAGUGGACCCUAAAUUAAGGCCCGUGAGUUGGAUGUGGCCCUCCAAGGUCAUUUAUCCGGCCCUGGCCUUAAACUUUAGACAUAGGGUUGCCCUAUGUCUAAAAUGACUUGAAGACAGACAACAACAAUCCUAACACUUCCCAUUGAAAAACUGGUAAGUUUAUGUUGGUUAAAGUUGUUCCUCAUUUUAAAUAUUUCAAACUAUAGUCUGGACCCCCAACAGUCAGGGGCCAUAAACCAACCCUCUUAAGAAGUUUGAGGACUCCUGCUCUGGACAAUCAAAGGCUUUGCUAUAAUCUAUGAAGUACAUGCUGAUUUCCUUCUGAAAUUCUUUAAUAUGUUUAUUGUCCAGUCUAUGUUUGCAAUAUGAUCUCUAAUGCUGCUUCCUUUCCUAUAUCCUUUUGCAUCACAGGAGCAUGCAGUCUUAUCAUCAUGGAACAGUGGUGCUUCAGCCCAUCCUGUGUAUUAUAACUGUCGUUCAGACUGAAAUCCUGGGAUGUGGAGGCAUAGCUAAUUGGAUUAAUGCCAUAUCAGUGACUUUGCGACCAAAGCAAGUUUUCAGCAAUUUGAUGACAUCAAGAAAUAAUGAAAUUCCAAUCAGUUACUUGGUUGCUUGUUUUAGCAACAGAAUAUUUAUCAGAGAAAGUGAAUAAAAGCUUGCCCUUCCCAGCAAGUUUGGGCAAAAUCAAAGUGCCGCAGCUUCUCAUAGCUUGUGCGUUUUUCUCAUUAGUAGUGUUUGCCAACUUGACCACAUUCUGAUAUUGUUUAGCCACAUAUGUCCCGGUUUUCUUUUGUGAAAUGCUGGAAGGAAUGCCAUUAUGUGAACCGGUUCUUCCAAAAUCCUCAUCUCGAAAAGAAGCAAACCAUUAUGUGCAAUUAUUUGGAAGUGAAAAUGGUCCACAAAUAAUUCAAUCUUCUUUGAAAACUUAUUGAAGUAGUCAAGGGGAGGAGGGGUGACAGAGGGAAGGGAUGUGAGACAAUAAUAAGAUGAGAAUCAGGAAAUGCCAUUACAUCUAGUAAAAGUUUAUAUGUGGUUGACAGUAGAGGUGAAAAGAAUAGGUUAAGGGUAGUGCAAAAAGAAAAGAAAAAUGAGAUUUGGAAAGGAAUUCAAGAGGGUCGCCCUUUAUAUUUUCAGGGAUUUUUCUCAAGUUGCUCUCAAGUCUCCCCAUUAAUUGUUGGCAUAACCAUUAGCCAUCACUGCCAAAUGAAACAAACAACGUGCAACUGUGUGGCUCAUGUUAUAAUCCUAACUUAUCUUUGCUUCUUCAUCCCUCUGUUCCCUUUUCCCUCUUUUUUUGGCUUACAGUGUAAGUACCUCAGGGGAAGAUAGACAUCUUUUUGUUUGUUUGGCUUUUUUUGUACUUGCCUUUCUUGCUCUUGUCUGCCUUCAUGUCAUUGCUGAAGCAAGACUAUCAUUGGGCUUACUUGAUGUUUAGAGAGGGGUUGCCUUUGCCUUCCUCUGAGACAGAGAGAGUGACUUGUCAUGAUCACGCAGUGAACUUCAUGACAGAGAAGGGAUUUGGAUCCUGAUUUUGAGAGUCCUAGGGUGCGGCUAUACUGGAAUUAAUGCAGUUGGAUACACUAUUGUAAUCAUGGGAAUUGUAGUUUUACAUAGCCUUUAACCUUCUCUGUUAAAGAGGGCUGGUGUCUCACCAAACUACAAAUUUGGUGUCAGGUGCCCCCUCCAAAUCCAGCCUAAAUCAAGAUGUUGACAGGUUUCCUUGAAAUCGAGAGCAAUCUGAGUUUUUCGAAUGCAGAUUACAGUCUGAAAGGAGUACUCCUUUCUUGGUGGGAAUAGUCAUAUGCUGCAUGUCCCUGUUGUAUCAAAAUCAAGGUGAGUAUGUCCCCCCCUCCCCCCCCAACCGCUUUAGAAGAGAAGUCCUUGGUUGAAGGUAAAUGUCUGUGGGGUUGUUGUGUGUUUUCUGGGCUGUAUGGCCAUGUUGCAGAAACAUUUUCUCCUGACGUUUCGCCCACAUAUAUGGCAGGCAUCCUCAGAGGUUGUGAGGUAUAUUGGAAAAAACUAUGCAAGUAAGGUUUAUAUAUCUGGAAGGUCCAGGGUGUUAGAAGGAACUCUUGACUUUUGGAGUCCAGUGUGAAUGUUGUAAUUAAUCACCUUGAUUAGCAUUAUUAGCCUUUCCAGAUUCAUUUCCUGGCUUCUUUUUUUUUUUUUUAAACCUCUAAAAUCAGAACAAUAAGGAACAACACUCUGAAAACAGGGGAAUUCCAGACAUGAAUCAGUCAGGGAAAACUAACACCUCUGAACAAAAGAUUCCCCCAGGCAAGAAGAAGCCAGGAAAUGAAGCUGGCAAGGCUAUUAAUGCUUAUCAAGGUGAUUAAUUACAUCAUUCACACUGGCCUCCAAUAGACAAGAGUUCCUUCUCCCACCCUGGACGACAAUCCUGUGAUUCCAGUCGUGAAAGCCUUCGACAACACAAAUGUCUGUGUUCCUACUGUGGAACCUCUUGCCUCGGGAAUGUCUCACUGCAAGUGCCUUGAUGCUGUCAGUAGGGGCUCAUCCCCUGUUGCUUUUCCAAACAGGUUCUGCUUGUCAGCUGGGCACGGAAAGGUGAAGACAAGUCUUGUUGUUCAAUCCCAACUGAUUUGCACUCAUCACCUUGUUACAAUAUGCUCUGCUAAUGUAAAAGUUCAGAUUUUCUUCCUCUGGGCUUGUUGACUUUGUAGUGGUGUGCACUGAAGUUAAUGACUUAUUGAAUCCUACCCCAAGGCUUUAUUGAUAAGAUUUCUUCAGAGGGGUUUUGCUUUUAUGAUCCUCUUUAUUUCACGGAAUCAAAGAGUUGGAAGAGACCACAAGCCAUCCAAUCCAAUCUCUUUCUGUCAUGCAGCCAUACGUAUACAAAGCGACCCUGACAGAUGGCCAUCCAGCCUCAAGAGAGCGAGACUCCACCACAUUUUGAGACUGCCUAUUCCACUAUCAAACAGCUCUUACAAUCAGGAAGUUCUUCCUAAUGUUUAGCUGGAAUCACUUUUCAUGCUAUUUGAAUUCAUUCCUCCAUGCCCUAGUCUUCAAAGCAGCAAAAAACACGCCUUGCCCCCUUUCUCAAUGCAACAUCCUUUCAGAUAUUAAAACAUGGCUAUCAUGUGCCUUCUCAAACAUCUCAUCUCCAGGCUAAACAUACCCAACUCCUUAAGCUGCUCCCCAUAAACAUUACAGGUGAGAUCUGGCCAAAACAAUAAAAUGGACUAUAACUUCCCAAAUAAAAACUGGGACACGGGACCAAGCAAUAGUAGAGUGUGGUUGAGUUGGCAAAAGCAAUUUAUAAGGGAGCUACAAGAGGCAGCAUGAAGUUGCUUGGGAUGUCAUCCAACUUUAUGAUCCUAACUUUUAAUAUUUUUUAACAUUACUUUCCUAUCCCACAAUGUCUCCAUUGAGUGUAAAUGAUGGUGCUCCAUAUUCUAACUUCAUAGUUAUAACCCUAAAACAUAGGUAAAGUUGAUGAAGAACUAUCAGCUCAUUUAAUGACUCAGUGAGCAGGUGAAGCCGACUCGCCCAAGUUCCAGUGUAAUAUGUGAAUCACUGUUUCUAAACUCCCCAGCAAAGGUUGGAGAGCUAGAUGUUCAGGGCUUGUUCCUUCCUGAAAUAGCUGCUCAUGCUGUCAUAUGAGCUCUGCCAUCUUGCUACUCUUGUCUUGCAGGUUCUUUGCCCUUUC